rnacentral:piRNA from 1 species
CUGGGAACUGAACUUGGGUCCUCUGG